GCAGUCAUUCCUACCGUGCUGAACAUCAUGUUGUCACGGUCAGAAUCAGAACUAAAUUGAUUAAGGGUCUGAAACAGUUUGGCAACUCUUGGGCACUUAUGCUGAUAAGAAAAGUGAUGAGACAGGGUAAUGAAAAGAGGCUGCAAGAAAUGACCAUUCGUGCAUUCAGCCAACAUUUAGGCCACCCUCCUGUAUUCCAGGCACUGUACAUGGCACUGAGUAUGCAAAGCAAAAGGAGUCAUGGUCUACUGGCGGGAGCCUUCUCAGUGGAGAAAAGAUCAACAAGAAAAGUGCCUGCU
rnacentral:lncRNA from 1 species